rnacentral:rRNA from 1 species
UAGCGUAUAUUUAAGUUGUUGCGGUUAGAAAGCUCGCGGUGGGAUUUCUGUGGUAGGCAGCCAGUCCACACUACGUGUGAGUAUCUGGCUCGGAUACUGCAUCCUCCUGGAGAACAUUGGUGCGCUUCACUGCGUGGCGCGGAAUUCAGGACUUAUACUGUGCGGAGAUUAGAGUGUUCACGGCCGGCGUUUGCCUCGAAUAUAUUAGCAUGGAAUAAUGAUAUAGAAUCCACAUACUAUUUUGUUGCUUUCUAGGACGCGGAUAAUGAUUAAUGAAGAUAAUUGGGGGCAUUCGUAUUGACACGCC